GUCCUUUUGCGAAGAGCCAGACAAGCUGCCCCCAAGAAAGAGAAGCAAGCCACACGGGAUGCCCCUCCCCUUUGCCUCCUGCGGAGGGGAGGGAGUUUGUCCCAGCCACGCUCCGCAGGAGGCCCCAAAGGCACCUGAUUGGCCCGUUCAGUUUGGGGGGUGGGGCUUUGGCCCUUGCUGGGUUUUCCCCACCCCCGCUCUUCAGUUCGGGCCGAGCAUCCAUGGAGGAAGGAGCUCUUUCAUAGAGCUCCUUCUAGGCCUGAACCGGAAUGAGGGGGGGUAGCACCCGAGGAUCGGAAGAGUGGCGUAUUUUGGUGGGUAGCAUCGACCUGCCGAGCGGCGGCUUCCCCGGACAUCGGCGGCCAUUUUAGCGGCCUGAGGGGGCAUCGGCCUGCGGCUGGAGUGCAGCGGCAUCGGCCCUGUGGCGGCGCCGGUCGGCAUUAUCUUCGGGGCUUGGGGCCCUUGGUUUGUCCAGGUUGGGCCUUCCUGGCCUGGGGCGUAUUUUGGCGGGUAGCAUCGACCCGCCAAGUGGCGGCUUCCCUGGACAUCAGCGGCCGUUUUAGUGGCCUGCGGGGGCACCGGCCUGCGGCUGGAGUGCGGUGGCAUCAGCCCUGUGGCGGUGCCGGGCGAUGGCGUCCUCGGGCCUUGGGGCCCCUGGUUUGUCUGGGUUGGGCCUUCCUGGCCUGGGGCGUAUUUUGGCGGGUUGCAUCAACCUGCCGAGCGGCGGCUUCCCUGGACAUUGGCGGCUGUUUUAGCGGACUCCAGGGGGCAUCAGCCUGCGGUUUGAGUGCGGUGGCAUCGGCCCCGCGGCAGCGCCGGUCGACGGAGUCUUCGGGGCUUGGGGCCCUUGGUUUGUCUGGGUUGGACCUUCCUGGCCUGGGGCGUAUUGGGCAGCCUAACUGGGCGGGACUGGUGGUUGCUCUGAUUGGUGGCACUUAUUUGGGGCCCUGCCGCUCCCUGCGGUUGGGUGGGGGUGUUGGUUGGCCUUGGGGUUACUGGCAUUUUUCGUGGCCCUCUUCUCUUCAGUUGGCUUCUCUGGAGGGUCGGAGUGGGGGUCUCUCAGAAGGGCAGUGAGUGGCUCUCUGGGCGCUCUUCUCUCCACGCCUGUCGUGUUCUUUUGCCCAUUGGGUAUUCUGGGUUGUUUUUGGUGGCAUUGGGGGGUUGGUUCUGGGCCCCUGCAAUUCGCCCACAUGCCUAGGAGAGCCAAGGAGAAAACCGGUGGUCAGCCUAUCAGGCAGCCCAAGCGGCCUGCACCUCCACCUUCUUCCUCUGAUGAGGAUGAUGUGGAGAUGGUUCUAAUUAGGGGCCUGAUCAACAGAAUGGAAGCUCUGGAGAAGGCCAAGGCUUCCAUUCUGUUGGAAGCAAGGGGGCUGGCCCGUUUGGAGCACCGAAGAAAGUUCCUCAAUGCACGCGUGGUGCUGCUGGAACACAGUUAUGAAAAUCUCUCUCUGACAGGUUAGGAGCUCUUGAAAAGGGCAAGGGCCCGCCCGGCCCAGAGCUGCCUGCAGAGCCGGCUGAUCCUGUAUUGCCAGUGCCUGGCGUUCCUGUUCCUGCGAUGCCUUCUCCUGCGGUUCCGGAAUCCCCGCUGCCAUUGGAUCAACCCCCCGUGGAUCCAUCUUUGCCUCCGCCCCCGGGUGCUGGCGGAGCGGCAGCUCCUGUUCGGGUCCUGGUUUGCGGCCAUUCGUCGGUCUUUGGGGCCUUCAAGAGGGCCAGCUCCUCCCAUUGGGACGCCCAGUUGGGUUUUGGAAAGCGUGCUUCAGUUUCUUGGUUGGGUAGGAGGGGCAUGUUAUGGAGUCAGUUGCUCCCUGCCAUUUGGGAUGAUUGAGCUAGGUUCCCUGGGCCUGAUGUCAUUGUGGUUCGCUUGGGGGGAAAUGAUUUGGGCGGGUGGGCUGGUCUCUCUCUUAUUAUUAUUACUAUUUCCCUGCCCCAGCUCUUCCGUUUGGGCCGAGCAUCCCCCUCCCUCCCUUCCCUGGAGCAGAGCGGGUCUAGUGACUGGUCGCCCUUCUGGGACCGAGUAGGAAUUUUUGGCUCUCAAUGCAUUGGCCACUGUUGGGGUUUAUUUUCGCUUACUCCGUUCUGCGUUUGGGGUUUGAGUUAGAAUUAGGCUGGUCACACGGUUAUUAUUGGUUAUUAUUGUAAUUGGUGAAUAAAGUUGUGGCCCUUUUCACCCAAA